rnacentral:rRNA from 1 species
AUUGAACGCUGGCGGCAGGCCUAACACAUGCAAGUCGAACGGAGUGGCGGACGGGUGAGUAAUGGAUGGGAAACUGCCUGGGAGUGGGGGAUAACGUACGGAAAAGGGCGCUAAUACCGCAUACUAACAGAGGGGCCUAGGUCGGAGUAGCUAGUUGGUGGGGUAAAGGCCGACCAAGGCGACUAUCCGUAACUGGUCUGAGACGAUGAUAAGGAACACUGUAACUGAGACACGGGCCAGACUCCUACGGGAGGCAGCAGUUGGGAAUAUUGGACAAUGGGCGAAAGCCUGAUCCAGCCAUGCCGCGUGUGUGAAGAAGUUCUUCGGAUUGUAAAGCACUUUAAUUUGGGAGGCGUUACCCGCAGAAGAAGCACCGGCUAACUCCGUGCCAGCAGCCGCGGUAAUUC